AAAAUUUUUAACACUUUAAAAGCAAAGGCAUUAUUAAUUUUUAAAAGUGUUUGUUAAACACGUUCGACUUUUCACAAUAUACCCAGCAGAUCGUCGGUAUAGUACAAGCUAUCUCUUAGGAUAACACCAGUUUCACAUGUUAGCUAUGUGCAUGUCUUACAAGAAAGUCAAUUAUCACUCCAUAGUUGGUUUUGGGAUGCCGGUCGCGUUAUGGGACAUCGGUAUAUGCUGGGGAAUUGUCAGCAUUAAACGAGUAUAAAGAUGAUAAUGAAGUUCAUUUGCUAGUAGUAAGUAAGUAAGUGGUGGCUGGUUUUAAUACAUGUUAAAGAAUACAUGUUAACUUCUGCAAUAUAGUGUGGCAUGCAUGCAAUCCAAUGCAAUAUGUGGCAGAGCGGCUGUGGUCCGGUAUUCACUUGAAAUGCUCGCGAAUGCUGCUAAUCAAGUCAGUUUGGUGGAGAACGCGUUUAAGAAAAGUACAAUUAUACAAUACAGAUAUAUUUUUGUGCAAUACCGAAUGAUCGAUCAAUAAACAGUUUAAAAGGCAAAAAGUUUAACAAUUUACUUUAAACAUCAAAUAAUAUUUAUUGAAUUAGAAAUUUAUACGUACAUAUAUGUGUAUGUGCUUUUGCUUUUAAAAAGUACCUAAAGACACAAAUGAACGUACGCACUUUGUUCAUAAUGCUAAUGCAGUGUGUAUUUAUUUGAACUUCAUGUCAAGUUUCAACUAAAUCUGUAAACUACAUAAGUUUUGGAUGAGAUAAUUGUAAAACAAUAAUAAAAAUUGUUUAAUUUAAAAAUAAUCUCGGUUUAUAUGUUCUAAAUAUCAAUAAAUAUCCAUUUAUCAUAAAAUUGUUGUUAUUGAAAAUACAUUAUUGGAGGAUGUUAACUAACCAAGGGCACAAUCAUUUACACAAAAUUCAAUAACAUCGAAAUAAAUAAAUGUUUUGUAACUAAAAGACUGAGUAAAUAAUAAUAAUAAUAAUAAA